rnacentral:lncRNA from 1 species
AGAGAGACUUUAUCUAAGUGAAUGAACACAAAUUAAAUGAGGCUUUGCUUGAUAUUUUCUUUCUUUAAUCAUUCACUUCUUGAUUCUUGUGGUUGCUAAUGUUGUUAUGUGGCUUAAUCUGGCUGAUACAAGGUGUAUUUCACACACAUGGUAAUAACUUAAGAGAUGUGUCAAUAGUUUUAACCAUAUCUCUUUUAACUUAAAAGUUAAGUAAAG